rnacentral:rRNA from 1 species
CACACCGCCCGUCACACCAUGGGAGUGAGUUGCUCCAGAAGCCGUUAGUCUAACCGCAAGGGGGACGACGACCACGGAGUGGUUCAUGACUGGGGUG